rfam:Daedalea quercina L-15889 unplaced genomic scaffold DAEQTscaffold_5, whole genome shotgun sequence.
CCUUCGAUAGCUCAGUUGGAAGAGCGCGAGACUGUAAUGGAUACAUAUCAUCUUGAGGUCGCUGGUUCGAUCCCGGCUCGAAGGA